rnacentral:snRNA from 1 species
GCUCACUUCAUGAGUACAGGCUAAAACUGGAAUUAGCCAGAGGAAAUUAGUGGCCUCUGCACAAACAUGAUAGAUUAAUUCAUGAAGCAUUUCAUAUUUCA